GCCUCACCUCCAACCAAACUCAGCAUAUAUAUAUACUCCCAUGAAUCUCAAGCCUCCCCUAUUUACGUAUUAUCUUACUAAUAUCCCAGCAAAUACACCGCUUCAAUGGAAACAAAUCCGGCGAAGGGAGCACCAAAAUGCCGGCGAGGACUAGCAUCGGUUCCAUUGAUAGAGAAAAUGGAUUUGGGGCUCCAAUGCUCGGCCGAAAUUGACGCCAAAUUCACUGGCGGGUUAAUACUAUCGAUUAAAAUACGACUCGAGCUUAUUAGAUCAACCUACGGAAAAGACAUACCGAAAACAGAAAACAGGUGCUCUGUUUUAUACUCUAAUCGCACUUUUUUUGAAAUCCAGGAAGCGUUUUCAUUGCAACCUGGGAGAUCACAGUUUUGAUGUUUUGUUAUCUUUUUGGGUUGGGCUCUAACAACAUAUUUUUUCCCUUUUUGUUGGUAUUUUUCUGCCGAGUUUAAGCUUUAAGACACUGCUACAGAUUUCCACCCGACCAAGUUGUUAAGUUGUUGCUGAGCACUAUUCUUGGGUUUUUCAUCAAACUUCUAAUAUGUCUGAACGAUUCAUCAGUUUCCACUCCCUGGCCUAUAAUCAGUGAAUCUGAGUUUGAGAUGGAAGCUUAAAGGAGAUGUAUGCCAUGACUCAAACUAAGACUGCCCAUGCCUCGAAAAAGCAAGAAGAAGAGAAACAAGAAGAACUUUCAAGGAUUAAGGAUUUUUGGAGGUGGUGAAGAGGAUAUGGUUCUACGCGGUGACCAGACCAACGGCCAGAGAAGCAGGUGAACAAACCAGAUAUAGAGUUCCUGAAGAGGAAGAUGAUCUUUGCAAACUUGCGAUGCAUUGGGUGUUUUGGCUUCUGCUUAUGUAAGUAAAAUAUGCCUAUGUUCCACAACAAUGAGUAAAUCUUGCUGGUCAAGAAAGAGAUUGGAGUUCUAUAACACGAUGGUCGAGAGAGAAUAUGUUGAUUGUGAAAUCUGCGAUGAAUACACAGAGUCGCUACAGAAAAUAGUGACACAUGUGAUCAAGUUGCUCAAGCAGUCACGCUUAGAUGAAAAGCCUUAUUGUGAGGAGGAACGCUUUCGCACCAAAUCAUCCUGAACAAAACCAGAAACUGAGACGUAGCAAAUGGUGUUGGUAGCGGCGGCGAUGUUGUAAAUUCGUUAAGCAAGAGCCAUAUAUUCAUUAUUUAAAAAAUGUUUACGGCCAGAAGUAAAUUCUCGGUUCUAGACUGCUUAAUUUAAAA